GACGAACGCUGGCGGCGUGCUUAACACAUGCAAGUCGAACGGUGAUGCUCCAGCUUGCUGGAGUGGAUCAGUGGCGAACGGGUGAGUAACACGUGAGCAACCUGCCCCAGACUCUGGAAUAAGCGCUGGAAACGGCGUCUAAUACUGGAUACGAAACUGGCCCGCAUGGGCAUGGUUUGGAAAGUUUUUCGGUUUGGGAUGGGCUCGCGGCCUAUCAGCUUGUUGGUGAGGGAAUGGCUCACCAAGGCGACGACGGGUAGCCGGCCUGAGAGGGCGACCGGCCACACUGGGACUGAGACACGGCCCAGACUCCUACGGGAGGCAGCAGUGGGGAAUAUUGCACAAUGGGCGAAAGCCUGAUGCAGCGACGCCGCGUGAGGGAUGACGGCCUUCGGGUUGUAAACCUCUUUCAGCAGGGAAGAAGCGAAAGUGACGGUACCUGCAGAAGAAGCACCGGCUAACUACGUG
rnacentral:rRNA from 1 species